UUCCUGAACUUUUCACAUUUAAAACUGAUCUGAAAUUAUUAAGUGUAUUAAUAGUCCAACACAGCUUCUCCAAGUGUUUUAGGAGUCUCCAAAAGUCUCAAACCUUUCUAAAUGUGAAUAACUUAUUUUACUGCAGAGAUAAAGGGAUUUGUAUCACCUUCACUUGUAGUCCAUAUAUAGGCCAAGGACUGUUAAAGGGUUAACGAAUAUUGUAAAGAAAUAAAGAAAUAAAGUAAAGCGGAGCUUUGGGAAACUCGGCUCAGUGAAAGAAGAGUCCACAGAGGGCGAUACAGCACCAGUUCAGCACAAAGACAGUGAAAGAAGAACACAGAUACUGGUGGAAGAAGAGGAGGAUUCAGGAACUGGAGGAGUUCAUAAACUCUACUGAUAUUUUACAGUAUUUCUCUCUAAACUGCGGUUUAAAUUAGGCUCGGAUUAUGGCGAAUGAGUAGCCGGAGUGUAUGUGGAGCACAGUGAACAGGUUGGAGAGCUGCAGCGGUGACUGUAACACAGCACGGGCUGAGCGGAGCUGAUGUGGGUUUACAGUCUGACACCGGAUGCGGGUUAACCUUCUGUUCUAUAGCUUUCCAUAUGAAGAUUUUCUCCCUGACCCUUUUCACUGACUGACCUGAAUGUUAUUUUACGCCUUAUUGUGGUCAGCUGGGUGGCCUACAGACACAGAGAAGACUCAUCAGUAAAAUGGGUGAUUGGACUCUGAAGACAGAGGAUGUAAAACAUGUCCUCCAAGUGGACAUUAAAGCUGAGCAAGAAGAUAAUGAAUCUCACUGUAAACUGGAGUGUAAGGACUUCAACAUAUCUGGAGCGUGUAGUCUCAAAUCUGAGUCUUUACCAGGGAUUGAGGAGUCAUUUGCUGAAAAUGAUAUAUCUCUCUCCAUCACUGCUCCGGUAAGUGCUGCUGAGAAACAGCGGAGAUACCGCGCACGUCGGGAUGCUGAUCCGGAGAGGAGGCAGAAAUAUCUACAGUAUGAGCGUCAGAGAUGGAGACGGGAUUUACAGCAAGGGAAGAAGAAGAUUAUUAGUGAUCUAAGUGAGCUAGAGAGGAUUCAGCAGCGUUACAAGUGGAGGAAGCAAUACAUGAAGAGAAAAGUGAUGGCUGAUGUUGGGACGCACAGUAUGGACACCCCCAUCAUUCUGUCCAACAUCCAGAGCAGCAUUCAGGAUCUUCAAGAUAGAUCUGUCUCUAUCAUGGCUCCAAUAAGUGCUGCUGAGAAACAGCGGAGAUACCGCGCACGUCGGGAUGCUGAUCCUGAGAGG
rnacentral:lncRNA from 1 species